CGGUAAUUCCAGCUCCAAUAGCGUAUACUAAAGUUGUUGCAGUUAAAAAGCUCGUAGUUGGAUUUCUGCGGGGACGGAGCGGCCGGACGCAACUUGCGUCUCGAGCUAGCGCUUUCCCCGCAUCCUGCCGCGAACCGUGCUACCAUUAGUUUGGUGGCGCUGGGGAUCGGCUCGAUUACUUUGAGAAAAAUAGAGUGUUCAAAGCAGGCCACACGCCUUGAAUAAGUUAGCAUGGAAUAAUGACUAAGGACUUUGGUUCUUUUCGUUGGUGUUCGGGACUGAAGUAAUGAUUGAUAGGGACAGUUGGGGCGGUCCGUAUUCCAAAGCGAGAGGUGAAAUUCUUAGACCUUCGGAAGACGAACAGCUGCGAAAGCGUUCCGCAAGGAUGUUCCCUUUGAUCGAGAACGAAAGUUGGGGGAUCGAAGACGAUCAGAUACCGUCGUAGUCUCAACUAUAAACUAUACCAGCUAGGGAUCGGCCAACGUUUAAUUAUUCGACUUGGUCGGCACCUUAUGAGAAAUCAAAGCAUCUGGGUUCCGGGGGGAGUAUGGUCGCAAGGCUGAAACUUAAAGGAAUUGACGGAAGGGCACCACCAGGCGUGGAGCCUGUGGCUUAAUUUGACUCAACACGGGAAAACUUACCAGGUCCAGACAUAGGAAGGAUUGACAGAUUGAUAGCUCUUUCUUGAUUCUGUGGGUGGUGGUGCAUGGCCGUUUUUAGUCGGUGAAGUGAUUUGUCUGCUUAAUUGCGUUAACGGACGAGACCCCAGCCUGCUAAAUAGCGCGGCCGAGCUUUGCUCGGUACGAGCUUCUUAGAGGGACCAUGAUGCGCGAUAGCACAAGGAAGUUUGGGGCAACAACAGGUCUGUGAUGCCCUUAGAUGUUCUGGUCCGCACACGGGCUACACUGGCGCCUGCAACGAGCAUAUCAGCUGGCCCGAGAGGGUCUUGGCUAAUCUUUGGAACCGGCGCCGUGCUUGGGAUUGACCAUUGCAAUUGUUGGUCAUGCAACGAGGAAUGCCUUGUAAACGCGAGUCAUCAGCUCGCAUUGAAUACGUCCCUGCCCUUUGUACACACCGCCCGUCGCUCCUACCGAUGAAUGUUCCGAUGAAAUUUUCGGAGAGCGCCGGAGAACGGGGCUCUGCCCUGCAGAACUGGAGGCUCAAAGUCACUUAAAUCUGAACAUUUCGAGGAAGGAGAAGUCGUAACAAGGUAACC
rnacentral:rRNA from 1 species